rnacentral:rRNA from 1 species
UACGGAGGGUGCGAGCGUUGUCCGGAUUUAUUGGGUUUAAAGGGUGCGUAGGUGGUCAUUUAAGUCUGAUUUGAAAGCAGGCGGCUUAACCGUCUGAUGUGGUCGGAAACUGAAUGACUUGAAUGGGUUGGCGGUAGCCGGAACGGGUCAUGUAGCGGUGAAAUGCAUAGAUAUGACCCAGAACACCGAUUGCGAAGGCAGGCUACUACGACCUGAUUGACACUGAGGCACGAGAGCAUGGGUAGCGAACAGG